CGCUCUAGAACUAGCCGGUCCCCCGGGCUGCAGCCCAAUGUGGAAUUCGCCCUUCGCCCGCCGGGCGCGGCGGGCGGGGCGGGGGCACGGGGGGCCUACGGGAGGCAGCAGUGGGGAAUAUUGCACAAUGGGCGCAAGCCUGAUGCAGCGACGCCGCGUGAGGGAUGGAGGCCUUCGGGUUGUAAACCUCUUUUAUCG
rnacentral:rRNA from 1 species